AAUUUUGACUUUGUCUUGCAUGUGCCAAGUAUCCUAUCCCCAACAGUCUCAGAGAUGAACAAUUCCUAGGCAGAAUUUACACAUCCUGUAAAAAUGAAAUUGGUGGCCUGCAGGAAGAAAAUCUCAGGCCUUGCCUCAGAAGCAACAUAGUCCGUGAUAUUUUUUCCUAAAGGUGAAGUCAUGGCAAUAAGGAAGAAGAACCAAAGUGACUAACGCUGUCCACUUCCACAAACCCAUCUUCAUGAAACUGGCACAGCAACAGCAUCUCACUUGUUGGCCUCUUGCCUGAAGCACUGACCGCACCCUCUAACCGUAAUAACAGUGAGCACAAUUUCUGGAACGAUAUGACAGGAUUUGAACAAUCCGGGCAUUCUUCCUCUUCUGUGGUGACUGUGUGUUUAGUAAAGUGACUUCAGAACACCUGCAAAUACAGCUCACACAGCAAAUUAAGCUCUGUUUGCAGCGAUAAAGUAAAAAGCACAGAAGAAAAAUCAAGAACCGUGUCCUGCUUAUAAUAUAGUAAAAGAAUAGUAAAUCACACAAAUAACUGUUCAUUUUCAAAAGAUUUAAAUUAGCAAUGAAACAAAAAGGUUGGAAAUCUUUACACUGACUGAUAUUCUUAGGUUCCUAAGGGUUUACAUUCUGUCCUUCAUGAAAUACAAACUCUAUAGCUGAGAAGAAAAAUUACUUAUGAAAUUAUACCUAUGCGAGUUAUACUUGCCUUAGGUAAAUAGAUGUCCAUCUAUAAAUGGUAGCUUGCAACUCAAUAUUCUGCAGCAUGAGUUACUAGAGGGAAAAUAAAUGCUACAAAAAGAAA